rnacentral:rRNA from 1 species
AUGAACAGUGAUCAAUACAGAUCAAUGCAAGAGGAAAGCUUCUUGAUGAAAUCAAGAAGAUUCCAAAACAGAUGAAACAGACUGCUGUUGGUCUGCGUUGAUCACUGUUCAUCGGUAGAGGAGCAUUCUUAAAGAGACGAAGCUGUACCGAAAGGAGCAGUGGAUUUUUAAGAAGAGAGAAUGCCGGAAUGAGUAGCGAGAAAGAGGUGAGAAUCCUCUUGGCCGAAUAUCUAAGGUUUCCAGGGUAAAGCUGAUCUGCCCUGGGUAAGUCGGGGCCUAAGGCGAGGUCGAAAGACGUAGUCGAUGGAUAACAGGUUGAAAUUCCUGUACUAUCCUGUAACAGAACUGUGGGGACGCAGACAGAGAGCACAAGCCGGGAAUGGAAAGACCGGUGCAAGCGAGGUAGGAGUACAUCAGGCAAAUCCGGUGUGCAAUCCGAAGACGUGAUGCGGAUCGAAAAGAAGUAGAGAAGUGUGUGAGCUGGCUGCCAAGAAAAGCCGCUAUUGUUUACAGGAUACCCGUACCGUAAACCGACACAGGUGGAUGAGGAGAGAAUCCUAAGGCCGACGGGAGAAGCAUUGUUAAGGAACUCGGCAAAAUGACUCCGUAACUUCGGGAGAAGGAGUGCCAUGCGAAUGGCCGCAGAGAAUUGGCCCAAGCAACUGUUUAGCAAAAACACAGGUCUAUGCGAAACCGAAAGGUGAGGUAUAUGGGCUGACGCCUGCCCGGUGCUGGAAGGUUAAGGGGAGAGGUUAGCGCAAGCGAAGCUUUGAACUUAAGCCCCAGUAAACGGCGGCCGUAACUAUAACGGUCCUAAGGUAGCGAAAUUCCUUGUCGGGUAAGUUCCGACCCGCACGAAAGGCGUAAUGAUUUGGGCACUGUCUCAACAAUGCACCCGGUGAAAUUGAAAUACCAGUGAAGAUGCUGGUUACCUGCGCCAGGACGGAAAGACCCCAUGGAGCUUUACUCUAGCUUGAUACUGGGAUUCGAUAUUGCAUGUACAGGAUAGGUGGGAGACUAGGAAGUGGUGACGCCAGUUGCCAUGGAGUCAAUGUUGGGAUACCACCCUUGCAGUAUUGGGUUUCUAACCAGCAGCCGUGAUCCGGCUGGGGGACAAUGUCAGGUGGGGAGUUUGACUGGGGCGGUCGCCUCCGAAAGGGUAUCGGAGGCGCUCAAAGGUUCCCUCAGAAUGGUUGGAAACCAUUCGAAGAGUGCAAAGGCAGAAGGGAGCUUGACUGCGACACCGACGGGUGGAGCAGGUACGAAAGUAGGACUUAGUGAUCCGGUGGUAUAAAGUGGGAUUGCCAUCGCUCAACGGAUAAAAGCUACCCUGGGGAUAACAGGCUUAUCACUCCCAAGAGUUCACAUCGACGGAGUGGUUUGGCACCUCGAUGUCGGCUCAUCGCAUCCUGGGGCUGUAGUCGGUCCCAAGGGUUGGGCUGUUCGCCCAUUAAAGCGGUACGCGAGCUGGGUUCAGAACGUCGUGAGACAGUUCGGUCCCUAUCCGGCGUGGGCGUAGGAUAUUUGAGAGGAGCUGCCCUUAGUACGAGAGGACCGGGGUGGACUGGCCGCUGGUGUAUCUGUUGUAUUACCAAGUGCAUAGCAGAGUAGCCAAGCCGGGAAGGGAUAAACGCUGAAGGCAUCUAAGCGUGAAGCCCCCCUCAAGAUGAGAUAUCCCAUAACGUCAAGUUAGUAAGACCCCUUGAAGACGACGAGGUAGAUAGGGCAGAGGUGGAAGUGUGGUAACACAUGGAGCUGACUGUUACUAAUAGGUCGAGGGCAUAACCAA